CAAAGACGAGACGUCACCAUUUUGGUGUCCGCAUCAAAUAUAAUUUACAAAAGUGAUUUUACAUACAAAAAAAACAUAUAAAAUGCAAGUAAAAUGUCUACUUUUAUGUUUCAAAUAACUUUUGUGAAAAUACAAUGACCGAAUAUGAGUUUAAUAAUGCUCCAAAGUGUAAAAUCGUCAUUCAGCGUAAUGGUCCGGACUAUGAUUUUACUAAUACAUUUUUAAAUAAACGUAUAAAAUACCAUGUUAAAAAAAUAUUUGCUUCCUUGGCAUGUUCACAUAAGUGUUGGCUGUUUUAUAUUAAUAGGACUAUGUGUUAUUUUUUUCGUUAAAUAUUGAAACAACUAGGGGACUUUUGUCCCGAAUAUGCAAUUUGUCAGAGGUCAUUCAGUGUAACGGGAUAAGGAAGCCAUUUUGAAAUUAAAUAAACAAACAAUAGUCAUCAAGCAGUCUGUGACAUCAUCAAAAGGCCCCCUGAAGACCAUGUGGUGAUUCAGCAAGGUAAGUUUAUUGCUCUUAAAUAUUUGAUAAUUUCACCUUUUCAUAGUGUGGUAUCUUGAGUUACAAAAACGACUGUCAUUCAGUGAAAUGCAAAAAAACACUUUUAUUGUUAGAUUUUUUGAAAAAUAAGUAGAUGUUGUGAGUAAUGAUGAUAAACCUUUCGGGUCAAGUUCACUGUUUGAUAUGGGUAUCUAGUUGUUAACUACUAAUAUUAGCUUAAGUAAAAGUUUCGUCAUUCAGGGUAAUGUUUUGUCAUUCGGUGUAAUGCAAAUUGUAUGUUACACCACAGUGUCAUCCAUUACACUGAAUGACAGUGUCACUGUUUAGAUAACAUUUUUAGCAUUGUAUUUAUAUUUCAGAUAAAUGAGGGAUGUUUAGCACAAAAAAUAUAUCAAACUUUAUCAAUAUUAUUGUUUUAAUGCAUUUUUGUCGUUUUGGUACUGAUUUCUUUUAGAUGCCCACAAACAAAAAGAAAGUUUCUAGGCAAUGGCAGAAAGUUAAUGCAGACCCAGUAGCUAGGGCAAUGCAUUUAGCAAGGAGACGAGAAAGCAACCAGAGAAGAAAGCAAGCUGCCUUGGCUGCAAAUCCAGAUCACCCGUCAAUCAGGAAUUUAUCAGAUGCUGCAGCUGAGAAGAAGCGAAAGCAAUGGCGGGAAAAUCAAAGAAAACACAGGGCAGAAGCUAAACGUAUAAGGGCAGUUCUGGAUCUUAUUAUACAGUAUUACCACCUGUUCAGUUAAUUUUUACGAAUAUGAUAUGCAUUGUGGAAUAAAAUGAUUAUUCAUUUCAGCAUCUACUUCUGUGAUUUGUUUAGGAAUUAAAUGAUACAGAAUAAUAUUCAAAACAUUGCAAUAAUGGAAACACUAUUUUUGUCAAAAAAAAAAUUGUCACUAUUUUUGUGAAAAAUGUCAUUCAGUGUAACAAACCAUGGUCAUUCGGUGUAACAGAUAUAUUUAUGUAGAAAUGAAACAAUAUACUUAUUCUGAGCUGUACUUAUUAAAAUAUUUAAAAUAAUGUGUGAUCCUACAAAAAUUUUAUUUGAUUUGAAUUGAUUUUCACUUCCUUACAAAAACUUCUUGCUGACAAAUGGGUAAAACCUAAUGGUUUAAAGGAUAUUGGCGAAGUAAAAUGCUUUAAAAUGACAAAUAGUUAGUAUUUUGUGUCUGCACUGUGAUCUAUAAAUAGAGUCUUGUAAUGUGUCAUCAAAUAAUAGUUUUUCUAAAAAUGUCUGAUAAUAUUUUU